rnacentral:rRNA from 1 species
ACAUACGACCAUAGGAAGUGGAAAAUAGAGCUUCCCGUUCGCUCAGCUGUACAUAAGCCACUUGCCGGUCGGUUAGUCGUUGGGUGGGUGACCACUAGCGAAUCCUGACUGUUGUUGAUC